rnacentral:rRNA from 1 species
AUCUACAGUCAGCCCAUCCCGGAUGUGCCUGGCUUCAUCUUGUCUCAGAAGCUAAGCAAGGGUGGGUCUGGUUAGUACUUGGAGAUUCCCUGUGGGUACUAGGCU